ensembl:lncRNA PDC-AS1 PDC antisense RNA 1
ACAGAACUCUUUCUUGAUUUCUCUUUUGCCUUUACCUUUGGUCUCAACACUUGGACUGGUCCUGUAAUUUUGUUUCUCUUUUUGCAAUCCCUAUCCAGAAUCACUGGAGGUCAAAUGUCUUUGCCAAUUUGAGUUUUUCCACUUGAACAAGAAAAGACUGUCAAGGGAAAGCCAAUCAAUUUCACAAUGUUUAGAUGCUGAAGAUACAGGGCACAGCUUCCUUCUUGAAUUGCUUGUUGUUUACCUAGUUGACAAUCUACUGGGAAAAAGAAAUUCCUUUUCCAGAAAAGGUUUUCACCAAUUUCAAGGAAUCC